rnacentral:rRNA from 1 species
CCAAAAAUUAAGCCUACCCGCUCUUUAUAAAACCCACACCCAACUAAAUUAUAACAAAACAUUUUACCAGUUUAGUAAAGGCGAUUAAAAAACUUUCUAGCGCUUUACCCCUAGUACCGCAAGGGAAUAAUGAAAUAGAUUUGAAAUAGUCCUUAAGCAAAAAAAAGCAGAGAUUACUACUCGUACCUUUUGCAUCAUGAUUUAGCCAGUCUUAUUCAAGCAAAGUGAAACAUCAGUUUUGACCCCCCGAAACUAAGCGAGCUACUUAAAAACAGCUUAAUAGAGCCAACCCGUCUCUGUCGCAAAAGAGUGGGAUGAUUUUUAAGUAGAGGUGAAAAGCCUACCGAGCUUAGAGAUAGCUGGUUAUUCAGGAAAAGAAUUUUAGUUCAACCUUAAGUUUACUUAUUAACAAAAAAAUACCUUAAACUCAAGAGCUAUUCAAAUAAGGCACAGCUUAUUUGAAAAAGGAUACAACCUACAAAAAAGGGUAAAAAAAUUACACAUCGAUAAGUGGGCCUAAAAGCAGCCACCUUUAAGAAAGCGUUAAAGCUCCUCUUCUCAUCUUCUUAUAAUUCCUAAAUAUAUGUUUAACCCUUUAUCCCUACUGAAUGACUCUAUAUUAUUAUAGAGGCCCCCCUGCUAAAACUAGUAACAAGAAAUUGAUUUUUCUCCAAGAUAUAAGUAUAAACCAAAAUGGACAAACCAUUGGUUAUUAACGUCAAUAAAAUCAUAUAGCAACUGAACCAGAAAACACUAUUAAUCUGUUCGUUAACCUUACACAAGCAUAUCUCUGGAAAGAUUAAAAAAAAGAGAAGGAACUCGGCAAACCAUAACCCCGCCUGUUUACCAAAAACAUCGCCUCUUGAAAACUAUAAGAGGUCCAGCCUGCCCAGUGAUAUUAUUAAACGGCCGCGGUACCCUGACCGUGCGAAGGUAGCAUAAUCACUUGUUCUCUAAAUAAGGACUUGUAUCAACGGCAUCACGAGGGUUAUACUGUCUCCUCUUUUUAAUCAGUGAAACUGACCUCCCCGUGAAGAGGCGGGGAUAUUUAUACAAGACGAGAAGACCCCAUGGAGCUUUAAACCCAAUAACAGCCCACACUAAAUUUUCCUGAAGAAAAGAAAAGCAAUGUUUAUUGGUUUUGGGUUGGGGUGACCACGGAGAAAAACUAAACCUCCACGAUGAAUGAACCUUAAUUCUAAUCUACGAGCUACUGCUCCAAGAAUCAAUAAUUUGACAUAGUAUGAUCCGACAACGAUCAACGAACCAAGUUACCCUGGGGAUAACAGCGCAAUCCAUUUCAAGAGCCCCUAUCGACAAAUGGGUUUACGACCUCGAUGUUGGAUCAGGGUAUCCCAGUGGUGCAGCCGCUACUAAAGGUUUGUUUGUUCAACAAUUAAAAC